ensembl:misc_RNA 7SK 7SK RNA
GGAUGUGAGGGCGAUCUGGCUGCAACAUCUGUCAUCCCAUUGAUCACCAGGGUUGAUUCAGCUGAUCUGGUUGGCUAGGCGGGUGUCCCCUUCCUCCCUCAAGGCUCCAUGUGCGUCCCUCCCGAAGCUGCGCACUCGGUCAAAGAGGACGACCAACCCCGAUAGAGGAGGGCCAGUCUUCGGUCAAGGGUACACGAGUAGCUGUGCUCCCCUGCUAGAACCUCCAAACAAGCUCUCAAGAAAAAGCCAGAAGUGGUACUAUGCUUAAGUGGUAGAGCACUAGUCUUGAGCUGAAGAACUG